UAACCAAAGGUUCCCAAGAUCCAAAUUAGUUUUGACACAAAUCCUUCCAUGAAUCUGUCACUGGCCUUCAGCACCGUGGUUCUCCUAUGGAUUAAAAUCAGGAUGUGAAUGACAGUGAUCUCAGCAAAGCAGAGACCAUCUUGCAGCUCUCUGGAUCUUCUGUGGUAGCAUCAGUGCUACUCAUUGAAAAUACACAGCUGCACUGGUGAAGCUGUCAGUGAAAGGAAGCAAGAGGUUUUGGCAGCUGCACAGAGGGGAAGAGGUGAGGCCCUGGACUCAUGAGAAGGCGUUGGAGACAGCUUAGGCUUGGAGAUCUCUGGAGUCUGAUGACAUUUUUGGCGAUCUGAAGAAAACUCAUUUCAUCCCCACCCUUCUGUGAAUAAGGCAGAGGGCAUCACCAGCUACCUUGCAGUUACUGCACUUCGCAAAGAGUACCACAGGCACGUGUUGUUCAUCAAUG